UAUGUAGGGUGCGAGCGUUGUCCGGAAUUAUUGGGCGUAAAGAGCUCGUAGGCGGUCUGUCGCGUCGGUUGUGAAAACUUGGGGCUUAACCCUGAGCUUGCGGUCGAUACGGGCAUGACUGGAGUUCGGCAGGGGAGACUGGAAUUCCUGGUGUAGCGGUGAAAUGCGCAGAUAUCAGGAGGAACACCGGUGGCGAAGGCGGGUCUCUGGGCCGAUACUGACGCUGAGGAGCGAAAGCGUGGGGAGCGAACAGG
rnacentral:rRNA from 1 species